UACGAGGGGGCAAGCGUUGUUCGGAAUUAUUGGGCGUAAAGGGCGCGGUAGGCGGUGUCGCAAGUCCGUGGUGAAAUCUCUAGGCUCAACUUAGAGACUGCCGCGGAAACUGCGGUGCUUGAGUGUGGGAGAGGUGCGUGGAAUUCCCGGUGUAGCGGUGAAAUGCGUAGAUAUCGUAAGGAAGACCAGUGGCGAAGGCGGAUCUCUGGACAGUUACUGACACUGAGGCACGAAGGCCAGGGGAGCAAACGGGGAUUAGAAACCCCUU
rnacentral:rRNA from 1 species